rnacentral:rRNA from 1 species
UACGGAGGGGGCUAGCGUUGUUCGGAAUUACUGGGCGUAAAGCGCGCGUAGGCGGACCUGCAAGUCGGGGGUGAAAGCCCGAGGCUCAACCUCGGAACUGCCUUCGAUACUGCGGGUCUCGAGUCCGGGAGAGGUGAGUGGAAUUCCUAGUGUAGAGGUGAAAUUCGUAGAUAUCGAGAGGAACACCAGAGGUGAAGACGGGUUGCUGGGCUGACACUGACGCUGAGGCGCGAAAGCCAGGGGAGCAAACGGG